ensembl:lncRNA
GAGCCUACCUCUCAAGAUAGUUGUGAGGAUUCAACAUGUGGGCUGCUCUAAAGACAAGUACAGACGAGAAGCGGGGAUUCUCGUGGAAUCAGGAAAGGACAGUCCAGGAGUGGAUUCGUUUCCUACGGCUGCUGUAGAAAAUUAGUACAAACUCAGGGGCAAACAACACAAAUGCAUUCUCUUACAGUUCUGGAGGUUGGAAGUCGGAAGCGAGUAAGGCUAACAUCAAGGAUCAUCAGAUGCCUUCUGCCUUGUAUCUGGGGGCCACACAGAGAUCUGGCAAUUCUGGAUGUUUAAUUGGAAAAACUCAUUGGACCAAAUAAGGGUCAGUUCUGUCUGUACAACCC